CUCGGGGAGAAAAAUCUAGAGAAAAGUCAAGCCUACAGGAAUGAGAAAGAAAAAUGUGAAGUCUGUGCAGACUAUUAUUUGUGGCAGGAAUCCUUAUUUCUGAGAGAGGUGGUCAUGUAUGGAUGUGAGAGUUGGACUGUGAAGAGAG